rnacentral:ncRNA from 1 species
ACAAAGGCAAUGACAGGCUUCAGUAGCAAACGGAUCGCGUCAGGACCCAGAGAGCCGGUGGCAGGUGCGAACCGGCACGUCCCGUUUGACGAAUUACCGCCUGUAGCCGAACGGGGGAACGCCGCCGCAACCGGUCAGUAGUCCGUUCCGGAGAUUGAAAACUCCGUUAUCAAAAGUCGAGUGAGAGCGUCAAACGAUCGUUGCGGGCAUCAUGCGCCGCGGCGCAUCGGCUUGCGUUCUAACGAGGGUGGUACCGCGAGAUAAUCCUUCUCGUCCCUUGG